UUUCUACCACAAAUGAUCCACUUCAAAUUUCUACCACGAGUGGUCCGUGUCGGAUUCCCACCAUAAGCCUUCACCCGAGCUUCCAUCAUGGACGAAUUCCUUUCGGGUUUCUGUUGCAGACAUGCCUUGGCCAAGAUUCCUCGACAAAUGAUCCCCAUCCGGGCUUCUAUGGAGAUCGGACCCCGACCAAACUUCUAUAAGCGGGCAAAUGCCGUGCUCACAAAAUCUAGCAGCUGAACCCCUCCGACAGAUGAACCUCUCCAUCUCCAUCUGACAUCCACCAC
rnacentral:lncRNA from 1 species